rnacentral:lncRNA from 10 species
CAGCUCUAUUAACCACUCAUCCCUCCUCUGACUCAUUUUACAGUAUCUUUUGUGAGAAGCACUAUAUCUACACCUAACUCAGUACUUGAUACAAAGUAGGCACUUAAUAGGUGCUUGUUGAAGAAAUAUAUGCAGCCAAGUAAUAAAAAAGGAAGUUUUCAGUUGCUGUUGACAGAAAAUCCAACUCAGACUGGCUUGACAACAACAAAAAGACAGAGAAAUGUUCAGAGCCUGCAUCCAGGGAUGGUACCAUCUUCCCCAGAGUAACAUGAGUUCUCAGAUGGGAAUUGAGAGCUGUUAGGAAGGUUAAGUUGGGAGGGGAGGGAAUAGAUGCUAGAAAGCAUGAACACGUGAUGGAUGCCCCCUCCAUCCAUGAAUGACAGCUGACAUUGAUAGAGCCCAUGCUGGUUCAUGAACCAUUUGUUAUUUUCCAGGAUGAGAUGAAAAGAGUAAUUGAGGCAGGAGAAUGGAGAGUCCAGGAAAAGAGAAGGAGAGCAAGAGGAACAAGGGACACUGAGGAGAAGGAGGAAGAGGAGGAGAAAGGAAAAAAGAAAAGGAAAGAAGAAGAAUGAGGAAAGAAAGACAAA